AUUGAACGCUGGCGGCAUGCUUUACACAUGCAAGUCGAACGGUAACAGGGAGCUUGCUCCGCUGACGAGUGGCGAACGGGUGAGUAAUGCGUCGGAACGUGCCGAGUAGUGGGGGAUAACGCAUCGAAAGGUGUGCUAAUACCGCAUACGUACUGAGGUAGAAAGUGGGGGACCUUCGGGCCUCACGCUAUUCGAGCGGCCGACGUCUGAGUCUUAGCUAGUUGGUGAGGUAAAGGCUCACCAAGGCGACGAUCAGUAGCGGGUCUGAGAGGAUGAUCCGCCACACUGGGACUGAGACACGGCCCAGACUCCUACGGGAGGCAGCAGUGGGGAAUUUUGGACAAUGGGCGCAAGCCUGAUCCAGCCAUGCCGCGUGUCUGAAGAAGGCCUUCGGGUUGUAAAGGACUUUUGUCCGGGAGCAAAUGCCUGGUGUUAAUAGCACUGGGAGCUGAGAGUACCGGAAGAAUAAGCACCGGCUAACUACGUGCCAGCAGCCGCCGUAACAC
rnacentral:rRNA from 1 species